UAUAACUUAGUGGCGGACGGGUGAGUAACGCGUGGGUAACCUGCCGUAUACAGGGGGAUAACACUUAGAAAUAGGUGCUAAUACCGCAUAAGCGCACGGUUCCGCAUGGGACAGUGUGAAAAACCGAGGUGGUAUACGAUGGACCCGCGUCUGAUUAGCCAGUUGGCAGGGUAACGGCCUACCAAAGCGACGAUCAGUAGCCGGCCUGAGAGGGCGGACGGCCACAUUGGGACUGAGACACGGCCCAAACUCCUACGGAAGGCAGCAG
rnacentral:rRNA from 1 species